rnacentral:rRNA from 1 species
UACGUAGGGUGCGAGCGUUAAUCGGAAUUACUGGGCGUAAAGCGUGCGCAGGCGGUUCGUUGUGUCGGUGGUGAAAGCCCCGGGCUUAACCUGGGGAUGGCAUUGGAAACUGGCGGGCUUGAGUGCGGCAGAGGGGGGUGGAAUUCCGCGUGUAGCAGUGAAAUGCGUAGAGAUGCGGAGGAACACCGAUGGCGAAGGCAGCCCCCUGGGUCGACACUGACGCUCAGGCACGAAAGCGUGGGGAGCAAACAGG